rnacentral:rRNA from 1 species
UGGGGAAUAUUGCACAAUGGGCGCAAGCCUGAUGCAGCAACGCCGCGUGAAUGAUGAAGGUCUUCGGAUCGUAAAGUUCUGUUGCAGGGGAAGAUAAUGACGGUACCCUGUGAGGAAGCCCCGGCUAACUACGUGCCAGCAGCCGCGGUAAUACGUAGGGGGCUAGCGUUAUCCGGAUUUACUGGGCGUAAAGGGUGCGUAGGUGGUCUUUCAAGUCGGUGGUUAAAGGCUACGGCUCAACCGUAGUUAGCCUCCGAAACUGGAAGACUUGAGUGCAGGAGAGGAAAGUGGAAUUCCCAGUGUAGAGGUGAAAUGCGUAGAUAUUGGGAGGAACACCAGUGGCGAAGGCGGCUUUCUGGACUGCUACUGACACUGAGGCACGAAAGCGUGGGUAGCAAACAGG